rnacentral:lncRNA from 10 species
AACUUGCCGCAAAGUUUUUCUGGAGAAGUCGGGGUUUUUUUGCCGAGCGCUUUUGCCGACUGCUAGAGCUUACCCUUACUUUCUUAACCUGGGGUUGUUUUACUUCCGGGCUUUUUGAACUCUACACUCUCCUACAUUCUAGGAGCUGGGUGGGAGUAGGAGACGGUGUGCCUCCGCGCUCCCCGCGGGGCAGCCGAACCCCGGAGGAAGGGGCGGAUCGGGCGCGGUGUUUGGGGCGAAGCUGGGCGCGCGGCGCUCGAAGCACUCACUCGGCGGGUUUCGUGGUUGGUGGAGACAGCAAGGGCGCCCCGCAGACCGCACCCCUCGAGCUAUAGGUUCGCAGGCCCGACUCGACGGCGUCCCUAUUGCUGGCCCAGCGUAUGGUCAUUGGGGGCCAUUUCUUGCAGAGAUGCCCUGCUCCCUGACGCGCUCGCUCUUCUCCAGAGUUGGCCAAAGGUGCUCUUCCCCGCAGACCCUAACCACACCCAGUGGCAGUUGGAUUUCUUUGUAACUGGCUUUCUCACAUAUAUCAUCUCUUCUUUUGAUCACUGUUCCUGAUUGUGACAUUGUGCAAGUGUUAAAUUGUGUGCCUUUUGUUCCUGAAGAAAGAGAUGUCUCCUACUCUUUGUGUUGGAUAGGUCCUGGGAUCUUUGAAAUGCUAAGAUUCUUGGAUACCACAGUAUCAUAAAAUUCCUCUAAAUGCAUUGGUGCUAGCAAUCCCCUACUCUGUCUGGCCUCUGGAUCUAGCUUGAAGUUCUGGAUUCAUUUCCUUCUUCCUUGUACCUCAGCCUGAGCCUUCUGU